rnacentral:rRNA from 1 species
GACGAACGCUGGCGGCGUGCCUAAUACAUGCAAGUCGAGCGAAGUUUUUCUGGUGCUUGCACCGGAAAAACUUAGCGGCGAACGGGUGAGUAACACGUAAAGAACCUGCCUCAUAGACUGGGACCACUAUUGGAAACGAUAGCUAAUACCGGAUAAUAGCAUUAACUGCAUGGUUGAUGUUUAAAAGUUGGUUUUGCUAACACUAUGAGAUGGCUUUGCGGUGCAUUAGCUAGUUGGUGGGGUAAAGGCCUACCAAGGCGACGAUGCAUAGCCGACCUGAGAGGGUGAUCGGCCACACUGGGACUGAGACACGGCCCAGACUCCUACGGGAGGCAGCAGUAGGGAAUCUUCCGCAAUGGGCGAAAGCCUGACGGAGCAACGCCGCGUGAGUGAAGAAGGAUUUCGGUUCGUAAAGCUCUGUUGUUAGGGAAGAAUGAUUGUGUAGUAACUAUACACAGUAGAGACGGUACCUAACCAGAAAGCCACGGCUAACUACGUG